UCAGUGAGCCUUACUGACUUUCCUGAUGGGUUUCCUGAAGCUCUGUUGCCCAAUUCAUGGUUUAUGGUUUGUGAGGACUGCUCCAGCCCUCCAAUGUGUCCCUGAGUUGGCUGCUUGCUGUCUGUUCAGCUCCUGUGUUCAUGCAUGUUGCACUCACAAUGCAAGGUCUUCAGCAGCAGAGUGGCUUCCAGCGACAGCCUCAGUACAGAGAAUCCAGACCUCGCUUCCCACAUUUCUUUUUAGGAAUUUUUCAGUAUGAUGCUACUUGGACAAUGGACCGGAGGACCUUUUGUGGAAACAAAUUGAGCCUGAACUUGCUAGAUAUUUCUGGAAUCAUCUGUCUCCACUUUUCCAAAUGCCUCUGGCCUUGUUGAUGCACUUUUCCCCCUUUCUGCAGGUUCUCCAGCAGGAGUAUUAGAGUCUGCUUCUGUUUUUCCACCUGACAAAUAUCUCAAUUGUAAAUGACACUUUCACCUGUGGGGGAGACAGCAGUCAGUCCACCUCCCAUUUCUAGUAAUGUCUGUGUCCACUAGAGACAAUGAGAUUAUUCUAGAUCGAAAGGGAAGCUUUCUGUCUACAACAGUGUUUUUAUUGAAACUGUAAAUCUGCAAAAUGUUUUGGAGUUGACAAAAUAUCUUGUGCUGUUUUCAUUUAAACUCAGACCAACAAAGCCAAACACCAGUUCUGACUGUAUUGCAAAGUUUUAACUUCUAACACUUUCCUUCCAUUUUAAUUGGGAUAUUUUAUAGUAUGGCUUUUAAAAAUCUUUAUUUCAUUGAAAUUUCAUGAGUUUUCUGGAAAAAAGGUCCUUCUGUCUGCCAGAAAGACCUUUGUCCUCCUUGGAAACUGCAUUUGUCCUUCUACCAAUUGAAUUUGUGAAAAACUGUAUUCCUGCCUGGAUUUAGUGUACCGAUUUGAUCUUUACCUAUUGAAUUUGUGAAAAACUGUAUUCUUGCCUGGAUUUAGUGUACUGAUUUGAUCUCAACUCCAAAAUCUGAUUCUGCUCCCAGUUCUCCUUUCGACUGACAUGAGCAAAAACAGGAUUUUGCCCUUUUGCUCCCAGAAGAUGGCCUAUGCAGACAGACCUGUUUGUUUAGCAGAGCAUUCAUACUAAAUGAUACCAACAAUGUUAAGUAUUGAACUUUGCUAAUAGAUUUUGAUGAAUUUCAAAGACCAAUUAAACCAAGAAGAGUACAAA